GAUGAAUGACUUUUAAGAAUGUGUCUUUUUAUAUAUGAAUCAUUAUUGUUUGUUAUGUUUUGAGGUAUGUGUAUAUGCAUGUGAUACGUAACUAAUGUGUAGAUACACCGGUUAAUACACUGACAAUGCAUCUAUAUGCGUUAAUGGGUGUAGAUCGGAACAGGAUCCUUUAGGCAAAUAUUUACCGCUUAUAAUAUCCGUGUAUUUAUACAGCUAUCAAUAUCUUGCUUAUCAGUUGUCACUUUUUGGAGUAUCAAAGUGAGGUUAGCUCGGUGUAAUGUGCAUGUCCUAAGACAAAAUGGGGUGGAGAGGGGGGGCACGUGACACAACGGAAAGUGCAUCAUUCUUCUUCCCCAUUGGAUGAGCGGGGAACCUCCCCCAAAACUGAAACACCACUACAUCCCUCCCUUCGUUUCACAUGUAUUUUGUAUCAAGUCAAACGAGUGUUAAAUUAACAGAUGGGAAUUAGUUUGUCGCCAUUUUUAUCCAUGGUGAUUAGGGCAUCUUCAGAUAGAUCAAAUAACUAAUCGCAUAUCAAGUUGGGGAUACAAUGGAGCGGGGAUAAGGAAAGUCACGUGAGAAAUAAUGCUUAUGCCGGAGUACAACUAGAGCACUACAGACUGCAGUGAAUGGGGUAGAUGAAAUGGGGACGUCCAACAGAUCAUAAUUAUGCAGGACUCAAAUGAUGCACAAGGUACAUCUAUAUGACUUGUAGAAGACCGGUACAUAAAUUAAUAUCGUACAUUACUCACCGGAGGAACGUGAGUUUAAGAGCAACUCCAAUUCCUAAAUCUGCGCCUUUAAAGUGGGUGUAACAUGAGAAGGAGAAGCGGAUGAAUGAUUAUCAAGUGUACGUCGUCCCAUACCUAAACCAUUGGCAUUGCUUUGUUUUGGAAUACGAUCAUUUAAUACUUUUACAGAUUUUUGCAUGUGAUAUAUAAUAAGUGCAAAGAUAUGUUGGUUGAUACCCUCACAAAUUAAUGAGUACAGACUGGAACAAAAUACUUCAGUAGAUAUUUAUUUCCCAUAUCAUGUCUUCGUAUUGAAUUCACCCUGCAUAUGAGUUUACAUACCAAAGCAUGGAUCCAUAUCGAAGGGGAGUGAGACAACUAUAAAGCGCAAUAUUGUUCUUCCCCACUGGAUGAGCAAGGAGCCUCCCCUAAUAACUCAAUCCCCAUUGCAUCCCUCCAUCCAUUGUUAGAGCACUUCGUAAUCCAGUUAAACAAGUGAUAAAUUCGCACGGGGGGAGUUGAUCUACUUGUGUUUAUUCAUGGUGAUUAUCGCUUUUUCGAGUGGUCUAACAACUACUUGUAGGUCAAGUUGGGAAUAAAGUUGUGUGCAGAAUAAGGAAAAUGAAUGAAGAAGAAUGGUUAUGGAGGAGGCUUGCUAUAGCACUACGCUCAAUGCGGUAGGUGGGCACUUGUAGUGCAUGAAGUAGAUGGGAAGUUCCAUUGGGACUUAAUGGUAUCGAGGAGACCAAUCUUCUGUGGGCCCUGAAUGGUUUAGAAUGCACAUCAAAUCUAUUCAUAAGUGUGACUCGUAUCUAAUCAAUACAUAAGAUUAAUACCACAUAUUACUUGUUGGGAGGAACGUGAGUUUGGGAACAACUCUACCGGAUUCCUGAUGUUGAGAUUUUUUUAAUGGGCCUAGAGUAAAAAGCAGAAGAAUGGUUCCGGAAGGCAACACCUAUCUGUAUCUAAACCAUUUAUACUGUUUUUGUUAUGGGGUAUACGCAUUCGAUACUUUUGAUGAAGACUUACAUUUGUGAUACAUAAGAAAUGUAAAGAAUACACCGGUUGAUACUCUCGCAACGCAUCUUUAAAAGUUAAUGAAUGCAUAUUGGAACGGGAUCCUUCAUGUAAAUAUUACUUCAUAUAUCAAUGCAAUCGUGCUGAAAUCAAUACUCCGUGCAUGUUCCCAUACCAAAGUGAGGUUAUCUCGGCAUGUGUGUCCAUAUCACAGUGAAAGGGGAAGCCACAUGACACAAUGAAAACCACAUGGUUCUUCUUAUCCACUCGACGAGCAAGGAGCCUCCCCUAAAACUCGAUCUCCACUACACCCCGCCCUCCAUUUAUCAUGUUUUUUGAAUCCAUUCGAGCAAGUGUUAAAAUAGCACAGGGGAAUCAAUUUGUAGUUGUUUUAUUUGUGAUGAAUAGUACAUAUUUGAAUGAAUCGAACAACUGCUCACAAAUCAAGUUGGGGAUAGAGCCAUGCGAAGGAGACGAAAAGUGAGACGAUGAAGACCGAUUAUGGCAAAGGACGGCUAGAUCGCUAUAGUGAAUGUGGUAGAUUAGCGUUUGCAGUGGAUGAGGUAGAUGGGGAGGGCAAUUGAUACUUUGAGAUGUCAAGUAGAAUGGAACUACAUGCGCCCCAAAUGGUUUAGAAGGUACAUCAAUACGACUUGCAGCGACCCAAUACAAAAUUAAUGUCACAGAUCACUCGCAAGAGGAAUGUGAGUUUGAGAGCAACUCAAGCAGAUUCCUAAAUUUUGAGCCUUUGUAACGGGUGCAGAGUAAGAUGAUCCCCAUAUAUAAACUAUAUACUGCUAUAUUUUGGGAUAUAGGCGUUUAAUAUUUUUAGAGAUUUUUUUCCUUAAUACAUAAUAAAUAUAAAUAACUUUUGACUGUUUUGGCAACGCGUCUCUGAAGGUCAAUGAGUACAAACUGAAAUAGAAUACUUUGAACAUACGUUUAUUCGCAUGUGAGUUUCCGUAUGAAAUGAUGUUAGCUUGGUACUUUAAGUGUGAUGUAAAAAAAAGCCUCCUCAUCCUAAAUGCUAAUAUCUGACGAGCAUUUCUAGAGUGCACUUUUUUAAGUAAAUGUCAGGUGCCUUUGAGGUAGUCUGCUAGAGUCCAUUUUUUGCCCUCCCAACGUUUAACAUGGCAAAAAAUUUGGCAGUUUUAGAAAAUCUGCUAGAGUUGCUUUGAGAGGUACUGAGAUGUCAUAUGGCAAAUUCACACCCUCGCGUCUAGCUGCGAGCAUUGUCGAAUGUUCCCCGCGCGCUUGGGACCGUAUAGUUGUCGG
rnacentral:lncRNA from 1 species